GAUGAACGCUGGCGGCAGGCCUAACACAUGCAAGUCGAGCGGAGCGGCGGACGGGGGAGUAAUGCCAAGGAAUCUGCCUGGUAGUGGGGGAUAACGUCCGCAAACGGGCGCUAAUACUGCAUACUAUCAAAAGAGACUGGGUUGGAUUAGGUAGUUGGUGGGGUAAAGGCCAACCAAGGCGACGAUCCGUAACUGGUCUGAGAGGAUGAUCAGUCACACUGGAACUGAGACACGGUCCAGACUCCUACGGGAGGCAGCAGUGGGGAAUAUUGCACAAUGGGCGCAAGCCUGAUCCAGCCAUGCCGCGUGUGUGAAGAAGGUCUUCGGAUUGUAAAGCACUUUCAGUUGGUAGGCGUUACCAUCAGAAUAAGCACCGGCUAACUCCGUGCCAGCAGCCGCGGUAAUUC
rnacentral:rRNA from 1 species